AGAUAUAUGCUUUUCCUUAAGCAUAUUCUUUUUAGUCUUAAAUGUAUAUCAUAUUCUUUGUGAUAUAUAAUUUCCUAAUGAGUAGUCCUAUCGCUUGAAUGUUAUUUUACCUUCAAGUUCCACCCUCGGAGGGUCUCGAUUCAAUUUUGCCAGGUGGUGCGCUGAAUACUCCUGCUGAUUCUAAUGGUUUGUCUGGUUUAUGCUUUAGUUCUUACCGUUCGUGUUUUUUAAGGCUUUUUGGUGAUGCGUUGUUGUCUCUCGGAAUACAUGUUUUGGGAAAUAUGCGGCAAAACUUAUAUGAGCUGGAUUUCAAUGUUGUUGCCAUGAGGGAAACACAAUGGAGGUAUGUGUGCCAGCCAAUCGUACAGGUCAGUUCAAAGAACUUCUGAAGAAAGGCUAUGUGUGUACCAGUCAAUUGUACAGGAUACAUCUCGCAUGGGUGAGAUCAGAAGGUCUAGGUCAUUGUUUGGCAAUGUAUCCGUGGCUUACGCUGAAAACUUCCUCUCAUAAUGAUGGUUGUCUGUGUGACCUUAUCGGUGGUUUAUGUUGGAAGCAAGCAUGUUUUUUGAUAACUUCUUCUACGCUGGUGACUGUUGGCUGAAGUUAUUCCAGUGCGAGAACUGAGCUAUACUUCAAGUGUAUCUCUGCUGUAAUCAUUAGCAUCAGAUCCAUGUUAUGUACGGAAACUGUGUCAACAUCAUAUUAUUUCCAGGGAGGGUUGCAGAUGUACUGGCAGGUGUAACUCGCCAUUCUGGGAAGAAUUGGUGGGUUGUCUCCGCUCCUGAGACCCAACACUUCCGAGCGAGAAGAAGCUCAUCUGUUCCCGUCACUUGCUGAAAAUCUAACAUAAAACUGUUUGUUCUUUACUGCCACAAUACCAUCUGGAGCAGGCUGUUGCCUGAGUGGUGCUACUUCUUCGAGCUCAAACACGCAAGAGCCAUCUGGGCUUCUGCGAUUUUCUGCCGGCAGGGCGGCGAAACUACAUCCUCCACGGCGGAGGCCUUCUUCGAUUCUGCUGUUGGAGCUUGGCGCCUCCUCUUCAUCAAGUGGUGUGUCCCCGGUGAACUGAAGGUGACCGGCGGCUUCGACUCUUCGUCAGGAAUGGAGCUGGAUCCUCGGCGGCGACGCUUGAGGACGCCGGCGAAUGGUGGAUUGAAUGGAUAUCUGGGGCCUUCUAGGCCCUGUCCUCGUGCAAAUUUUUUUUUGACCCUUUUGAUAGUUGUAUCUACAACUGGUACCAAUCUUUUUUUCAACGUUUUCAUUUUCCUGCCAUGUAAAGUGCUCUCUAUAUUAGUUAGGCAUAAAGUAGAUGCCCAAGAUAUAUUUAGAACAUGUUUGGUAAUGUAUAAUGUCUCCAUUCCAGGUUAUAGAUUU